rnacentral:sRNA from 1 species
CCUAAGCGCCUGGGAUCCU